CACGUAGGGCGCAAGCGUUGUCCGGAAUUAUUGGGCGUAAAGAGCUCGUAGGCGGUCUGUUACGUCUGCUGUGAAAACCCGGGGCUUAACCCUGGGCUUGCAGUGGAUACGGGCAGACUAGAGGCAGGUAGGGGAGAAUGGAAUUCCCGGUGUAGCGGUGAAAUGCGCAGAUAUCGGGAGGAACACCAGUGGCGAAGGCGGUUCUCUGGGCCUGACCUGACGCUGAGGAGCGAAAGCGUGGGGAGCGAACAGG
rnacentral:rRNA from 1 species